ACUGCGAAGCUCGGGUACACUUAGUUCUGAAUCUAACGAGAGGCAGGAAGCUGAAAGGGCUCCUGCUUGCACUUCCGCUGAGCCAAAGGCGGACCUUGGUGACGGAGUUACAAUUCCAUCAGACAAGCUGGCUUAUGCUAUGCAAUGUAAUUCAGAUUCACUAUGUGUAAGAGAGCUCGCUCGAGCCUGGACACCAGAACAAUUACACGGUCGGAGCGUCACUGGAAAACCCUGCCAGCGUUACCUAAAGAAGGGAAAACGUGCCCUCACUCCACGCAAGCUUGUCGCCAUAAAACGUUCCUUUCAAGAGUAUGCUGCCAGGAGAUCCUGUGCAAAAGGAAGAACAGUGGAACAAAGAACAGACAAAAUUAAUAGUUACAUUGCCGA